AGUGAACGCUGGCGGUAGGCCUAACACAUGCAAGUCGAACGGCAGCACAGUAAGAGCUUGCUCUUACGGGUGGCGAGUGGCGGACGGGUGAGGAAUACAUCGGAAUCUACUUUUUCGUGGGGGAUAACGUAGGGAAACUUACGCUAAUACCGCAUACGACCUACGGGUGAAAGCAGGGGAUCUUCGGACCUUGCGCGAUUGAAUGAGCCGAUGUCGGAUUAGCUAGUUGGCGGGGUAAAGGCCCACCAAGGCGACGAUCCGUAGCUGGUCUGAGAGGAUGAUCAGCCACAUUGGAACUGAGACACGGUCCAGACUCCUACGGGAGGCAGCAGUGGGAAUAUUGGACAAUGGGCGCAAGCCUGAUCCAGCCAUACCGCGUGGGUGAAGAAGGCCUUCGGGUUGUAAAGCCCUUUUGUUGGGAAAGAAAAGCAGCAGGUUAAUACCCCGCUGUUCUGACGGUACCCAAAGAAUAAGCACCGGCUAACUUCGUG
rnacentral:rRNA from 1 species